ACGGGUGAGUAACGCGUGAGUAACCUGCCUUACACAAGGGGAUAGCCGUUGGAAACGACGAAUAAUACCCUAUGACAUAAACUCUUCGCAUGAGGAGCUUAUCAAAGAUUUAUCGGUGUAAGAUGGACUCGCGUCUGAUUAGCUAGUUGGUGAGGUAACGGCCCACCAAGGCGACGAUCAGUAGCCGGCUUGAGAGAGUGUACGGCCACAUUGGGACUGAGACACGGCCCAGACUCCUACGGGAGGCAGCAGGG
rnacentral:rRNA from 1 species